rnacentral:misc_RNA from 1 species
GUCUUUUUUUGUUAUUUCUUCGUGGGUUCUGUGUAGUCGCCAACAAUGACCUUGUUUUUCCCGAUUAGCAGCUGCCUGAGGUAUUUGGGGAGCUCUUUCAGUAAUCAAUUCAGUGGUUUUGCAAUUUUUUGUGAAACUGAAGAUAAUGAGAUUUAGUAUGGAUAGCACUCUAGAUGUCAACAGUGGUUAGCAUCACAGGAUAACAGUGUCCACCUACAGGCU